UCGGGAAUUUUGGGCAAUGGGCGAAAGCCUGACCCAGCAACGCCGCGUGAGGGAUGAAGGCCUUCGGGUCGUAAACCUCUGUCGGGAGGGAAGAACGUCCACGGGGCGAACAGUCCCGGGGGCUGACGGUACCUCCAAAGGAAGCGCCGGCUAACUCCGUGCCAGCAGCCGCGGUAAUACGGAGGGCGCAAGCGUUGUUCGGAAUCAUUGGGCGUAAAGCGCGUGUAGGCGGCUUGGUAAGUCGAGUGUGAAAGCCCGGGGCUCAACCCCGGAAGGUCGCUCGAAACUGCCUCGCUCGAGUCCCGGAGAGGAAGGCGGAAUUCCCGGUGUAGAGGUGAAAUUCGUAGAUAUCGGGAGGAACACCAGCGGCGAAGGCGGCCUUCUGGACGGUGACUGACGCUGAGACGCGAAAGCGUGGGGGAGCAAACAGGAUUAGAUACCCUGGUAGUCCACGCCGUAAACGUUGGGUGCUAGGUGUCGCGGGUAUUGACCCCUGCGGUGCCGCCGCUAACGCAUUAAGCACCCCGCCUGGGGAGU
rnacentral:rRNA from 1 species